AAAUACAAACGGUGUCAUAAACGAUUUUAUAUUUUGAUAUUCAAGUAACGAAGAUGCAUGCAUUUUCGGCGUCACAAUCAACAUGCUAGUGGUAAAGUGCACAUCUAUACUACGGCAAAAAUAAAUAUAAAUUAUUUCCAUUUGCUAUGUAGCAGUUCCCUCCUGCUACUGCUAUGACUUUAUCAUCCGGUUGAAAACCAAGGAACUCCAGUCGCUUGUAAGGUAAAUUUACAGGCCAUUUGAUCCAUUCUCUUGUAAUUUCUUUUUCUAAUAACUUUUUGUAGAAAUGCAUUUCACCUUCUCAAUUUAUGAAAUUAAGCAAUAUUAUUCUCCAAUUCAUCACUAGUCAUUGUAAACUUUCUUCCUAAUAUGAUUUAAGAUAACAAAAUGAACUUCUACCUCUAAAUAUGAAAAUUUAGACUUGAUAUGUGAACAACCGAAUGGCAAAUUGGCUAAUAUAUAGCACUUUGUACUAGGUGUUAUAACUCUGCAGACUGCCAGUAAUAGCACCUACAUCUCUCUUUUAGUUUAAUCCAACCUUGUUACAAAAAUACUUGAAUCCAUAUGAAAAUGAAAGAAAACAUACCACAACAACAAAUGAUGAUUGUUACAUUCUUUUUUUCAGAGCUACUGGAGAUGCCAAAAUAAACUAACAUUUCCUUUUUCUGAUUUUGAAGCUUGUUGAUCGGAUAACAUUAUCAUCCCUCAAUAAUGUUUGCUCAAGGGCGGUUAUGGACUCAGGCUUCGUGAAGUAGGUGAAUAGGAGGUAGAUGCCAUCCAUAUACGUGUUGGUUUCUCCUUCCUUGUUUUUCUUCUGGAUGUUAU
rnacentral:lncRNA from 1 species